CAUAUUUGUUGUGUCGAAUUUACAAUACAUUUUUAUUUGAAUUUUACAGGGACUUUUAAGUACAGUAAAGAAGAUGCUCUGAGAUGGCCGUCACUCAUCCAGCGAUGAGCAGAUGAUCUUCAUGGGUCAGAAGGGCUUCUGCUGAACCGUAUAAACAUCAGUCGCUCAGCCGAGUCCAAGUUAACCAAAUGCUGCAAGGACAACAAGGAGUUGAGGAAGCGGUUGUCAACAGGAGACUUGUUAGUCUGAAGUUCUGCAGGAAUUUCCUCGCUGUUACUCAUCAUCCCCUGAUGGAUCCUUGUUGAAAAAUGUGCCGUUUUCAAGUGAAAUAUGUUCCGCGCAGGAUUAGAGAAGCGCAGUUUGUUUUCGUAGUCGACGUGUUUGACCUCGGAAAAGCGGCUUUGCUUGAAGCAUCGGCGUGUUUGCUUGUGGGAAGCAUGGCUAAGCUUCGCGGGUAGCGACACAAGUUUACACAACGUCACUCGACAGUUAGUCUACCGAGCGGAGGUUGACUCGGAAGAGUUCAAUCCAGCCACACACACACACUCAAAGUCCCGAAAGACGACUCAUAAUUCGCUGAUUGAAAUACUCGCCGGAAAACUAUUCAAUAAAUUUGUUGGCCAUGCAAAACACUAUAAAGUGGUCAAUGUUACUCACUAUAUGGAAUAAGCUUUGAAACAAAAGAACGGAAAUUUGCCAGUUGUGAAUGGCCCACUGCGAGUCUGUUCUGAAAAUAGCUCACCAGUCACAGGACAUUCCCCCGGAUCUUGUAGAAUACUCAUUUGCGAAUAUAACUCAUGCAAAAUACUUACAUCCCCACACAGCCACCUAAGAGGAGGAGGACGAAAGAGAGAGAAGUGGCAGUAAAACAGGCCAAAGGAGCAAUGAAGAGUUUCUCAAUAGUUGGACAGAAAUAUUCACAAAUUGGGCUCCCGUACCUCUGCUUGUUUCUGGCACUCUGUGCCAGAUUUUAACCAGUGGUGGGAAAGGAUGUGAGGCAUGUGGAGGCGGAUUUUACCGCCGCAGUUUCAGCAAAGCUCCUCAAGCGCAACUUGACGGGGAACAG